rnacentral:rRNA from 1 species
CCUACGGGUGGCAGCAGUGGGGAAUAUUGCACAAUGGGGGGAACCCUGAUGCAGCGACGCCGCGUGGGUGAAGGAGUAUUUCGGUAUGUAAAGCCCUAUCAGCAGGGAAGAACAAUGACGGUACCUGACUAAGAAGCACCGGCUAAAUACGUGCCAGCAGCCGCGGUAAUACGUAUGGUGCAAGCGUUAUCCGGAUUUCUUGGGUGUAAAGGGAGCGCAGGCGGCGCGUUAAGCCUGGUGUGAAAGUCCGCGGCCCAACCGCGGGACUGCAUUGGGAACUGGCGCGCUGGAGUGCCGGAGGGGUAGGCGGAAUGCCUAGUGUAGCGGUGAAAUGCGUAGAUAUUAGGAGGAACACCGGUGGCGAAGGCGGCCUGCUGGACUGUGACUGACGUUGAGGCCCGAAGGCGUGGGGAGCAAACAGGAUUAGAUACCCUUGUAGUC